CAGCAGUAGCCACGGGAAUACGUAGGUGGCAAGCGUUGUCCGGUAUUAUUGGGCGUAAAGCGCGCGCAGGUGGUUUAAUAAGUCUGAUGUGAAAGCCCACGGCUCAACCGUGGAGGGUCAUUGGAAACUGUUAAACUUGAGUGCAGGAGAGAAAAGUGGAAUUCCUAGUGUAGCGGUGGAAUGCGUAGAGAUUAGGAGGAACACCAGUGGCGAAGGCGGCUUUUUGGCCUGUAACUGACACUGAGGCGCGAAAGCGUGGGGAGCAAACAGGAUUAGAUACCCGAGUAGUCCCUGUCUCUUAUAC
rnacentral:rRNA from 1 species